AAUCUACUUCCUCCAUAAGUCAUUCCCCUCUUUGAAUCCUCUAUUCCAUCUCUGCUUUUAUAGAAAACAUCAUUAGUUUAUCCUAUAAAUUCAUUUUCAUUUUUUUUGCAUUUAACUAGAUAUUAUUAUAUAUUGAUCUAAAAUGUAGGAUGAUCAUCGGAAUAUAGGUGCAAUAGCAAGAAGUUGUAAUAUGAAUAAACCUAACAAUGUUGUAGCUCCUAAAUUAGGUUUGAAAGCAUCUCAUGUUUGGAAUUAUUUUGACAGAGUUUUAGCUCCUGGCAUGAAUAAUUUUAAUGGUUCAUCUGAAAGUGUUUCUUUAGAUUUUCCAAUAGCUCGUCAGGAGAGAUCAUAUGAUCAGGUUAGAAACCAGAAAUUCUACUUACAUUCAAUUCAACCAGUUCAAUUUUUCCAACAAAUCGUUGUUCCUCAAUCACGAACAACGGUGGCAUGUGUACCACCAACUACAACACAACCAGAAUGGAUAGAUCUACAACAACAACUCGAUAUAGGGGCUAAAAUUCAUCCUAAUUUUGCUUCAUGUAUGAAGAGUCCUUUGACCCAAUCUACAACAAGGAAAAAUCAGUCGAUAAGGCUUACCUAUGAAUUAUCGCAAGAGGAACUCACAAAUGACAAAAGGGCAUGGCGCAAGUAUGGUCAAAGUAUAUAAAAGGUUCCAUUUCCAAGGAAUUACUAUAAGUGUAGCACAUCAAAACAAUACGAAGCAAAGAAACAAAUUGAGAAAAGCUCAAAGGAUGAGAACAUUUUCGUGGUAUCUUGUUCCGGUGAACACAAUCAUGAUCCACCCAUGAGCCGUAGAUAUCUUGCUAGCUUCAAAAAUAAUUCCAAAUUCAAGCUUCCAAAAAGCAUAAAUAUUUUUCCCAAAGAAUCAAUAUUUAAUGCAUCAUCAUCAUCGUCCAAGCGCAUUAAGCAUUCAACAGAUGUUGCUUCUUCAAUUAUCAGAACUAAUCCUCCACUUGAAAUGGGGAGCAAAAACAAAAUGCUUUUUGCGGUCGUGCAGAACAAAGGUGAUGGUAAAGAAAAGGUACACAUGAAUGAAGAUAUUUUCAUGGGUAUUGAGGAACUCCAAAUUGGUACUACUUCCACCUAAUAGGAGGAAAAUGACAAGAGAAAUUAAUCUUUUUCCCCUCUCCACCAAAUUUCUAUGUCGACAUAUGUGGUCUUAUUGUCAUGCUUCUGUUUUAGGUUCUUAGUGUGGGAAGUGAAGAAUUAUAGUUUUAUAGUUUCAUAUGAAUAACCAUUUAAAUCAUAGAAAAAAGGAUCUUUUUUAGUUUCAUUAUUUUCUAUUGUUCUUCAAUUCUACAAUCUAGUCUUUGUAGUAAGUUGUUGUUCCGUAUUCUCAAAUAUUUCUCUUUUUAAGGAA